UACGGAGGGUGCAAGCGUUAUCCGGAAUCACUGGGUUUAAAGGGUGCGUAGGCGGCCUGGUAAGUCAGGGGUGAAAGCUUCCCGCUCAACGGGAGAACUGCCCUUGAUACUGCCAGGCUCGAAUUGGGUUGAGGCCGGCGGAAUGUGGCAUGUAGCGGUGAAAUGCUUAGAUAUGCCAUAGAGCACCGAUUGCGAAGGCAGCCGGCCAAGCCUUGAUUGACGCUGAGGCACGAAAGCGUGGGGAGCGAACAGG
rnacentral:rRNA from 1 species